GAUGAACGCUGGCGGCGUGCCUAAUACAUGCAAAUCGAGCGAACAGACGAGGAGCUUGCUCCUCUGACGUUAGCGGCGGACGGGUGAGUAACACGUGGAUAACCUACCUAUAAGACUGGGAUAACUUCGGGAAACCGGAGCUAAUACCGGAUAACAUGUUGAACCGCAUGGUUCAACAGUGAAAGACGGUCUUGCUGUCACUUAUAGAUGGAUCCGCGCCGCAUUAGCUAGUUGGUAAGGUAACGGCUUACCAAGGCAACGAUGCGUAGCCGACCUGAGAGGGUGAUCGGCCGCACUGGAACUGAGACACGGUCCAGACUCCUACGGGAGGCAGCAGUAGGGAAUCUUCCGCAAUGGGCGAAAGCCUGACGGAGCAACGCCGCGUGAGUGAAGAAGGUCUUCGGAUCGUAAAACUCUGUUAUUAGGGAAGAACAAAUGUGUAAGUAACUAUGCACGUCUUGACGGUACCUAAUCAGAAAGCCACGGCUAACUACGUG
rnacentral:rRNA from 1 species